UAUGCACGCUGACAGAAUGCUUAACACAUGCAAGUCAACUUGAAUUUGGGUUUUUAACUUAGGUUUGGGUGGCGGACGGGUGAGUAACGCGUAAAGAACUUGCCUCACAGCUAGGGACAACAUUUGGAAACGAAUGCUAAUACCUAAUAUUAUGAUAAUAGGGCAUCCUAUAAUUAUGAAAGCUAUAAGCGCUGUGAGAGAGCUUUGCGUCCCAUUAGCUAGUUGGAGAGGUAACGGCUCACCAAGGCGAUGAUGGGUAGCCGGCCUGAGAGGGUGAUCGGCCACAAGGGGACUGAGACACGGCCCUUACUCCUACGGGAGGCAGCAGUGGGUAAUAUUGGACAAUGGACCGAGAGUCUGAUCCAGCAAUUCUGUGUGCACGAUGAAGUUUUUCGGAAUGUAAAGUGCUUUCAGUUGGGAAGAAACAAAUGACGGUACCAACAGAAGAAGUGACGGCUAAAUACGUG
rnacentral:rRNA from 1 species